rnacentral:rRNA from 1 species
GACGAACGCUGGCGGCGUGCUUAACACAUGCAAGUCGAACGGAAAGGCCCUGCUCUUGUGGGGUUCUCGAGUGGCGAACGGGUGUGAAACACGUGUGUAACCCGCCCUUGUCUUUGGGAUAACUUCAGGAAACUGGGGCUAAUACCGUAUAGGAUCUCCUGCUGCGGUGUGGGGGUUAGAGAGUUUCGGCGGUGGGGUAUGGACUCGCGGCUUAUAAGCUUGUGUGUGGGGUGGUGGCUUACCAGGGCUUUGACGGGUAGCCGGCCUGAGAGGGUGACCGGCGACAUUGGGACGGAAGUAAGGCACAGAUUCGUAAGGGAGGCAGAAGGGGGGAAUAUUGAAGAAGGGGCGGAGGCUGGAUGAAGAAAGGCCGCGUGCGGGAUACCGGCCUUAGGGUGGAAAACCGCUUCCGUCAGUAACGAAGCGUGUGUGACGGUAAUGGGUAAAGAAGCACCGGCUAACUACGUG